rnacentral:tRNA from 3 species
GCGCGGGUAGCUCAGCGGUAGAGCAACUGGUUUACACCCAGUCGGUCGGCGGUUCAAUCCCGUCCCCGCGCACCA